rnacentral:rRNA from 1 species
AGCGAACGCUGGCGGCAGGCUUAACACAUGCAAGUCGAACGGGCAUAGCAAAAUGUCAGUGGCAGACGGGUGAGUAACGCGUGGGAACGUACCUUUUGGUUCGGAACAACACAGGGAAACUUGUGCUAAUACCGGAUAAGCCCUUACGGGGAAAGAUUUAUCGCCGAAAGAUCGGCCCGCGUCUGAUUAGCUAGUUGGUAGGGUAAUGGCCUACCAAGGCGACGAUCAGUAGCUGGUCUGAGAGGAUGAUCAGCCACAUUGGGACUGAGACACGGCCCAAACUCCUACGGGAGGCAGCAGUGGGGAAUAUUGGACAAUGGGCGAAAGCCUGAUCCAGCCAUGCCGCGUGAGUGAUGAAGGCCCUAGGGUUGUAAAGCUCUUUUGUGCGGGAAGAUAAUGACGGUACCGCAAGAAUAAGCCCCGGCUAACUUCGUG